rnacentral:lncRNA from 1 species
GUUAUUGGCUCACCUUCCCUUGGUUCUUAUGUUGAAUCUCAUGAGCAAAAAAAGAGCUCUUUGGCUUUUACACACUAAAUCUGGUUCUUGGACUCUCUCUCUCUCUCUCUGUCUCUCUUUCUCUACCUGUGCAUCUCAGUCUGUCAGCCUCUCUCUCUCCCUCAUACUCUAGGCUGCCCCUAAUCUUAUCCACUCUCUUCUCUUCCUCUUCAGCUUUCUGGGAUCUUGCAUUGGCAUGCCUUCAAUCACCAAGCAUUAUUAGGCACUUACUAGGUGCCAGGCUGUGCUCUGGGAGAGAUGCUGCAUCAUGACUAAACCUAAGGUCCCUUCCCUGAGGUGCCUACACCUGGAGCAAACAUUGCUUGUGUUUACACUUCUUAAACUGACAAUGAUGGCCAAGCUCACCAACACUCACUAAGGGCGCCCACACCUCCUCUUAACCUGUUAACAUAUGGCCACUCUAUAAUCUAUAAAAUAUGAGGUAGCAUUAUAUUAAAAAGGUGUUGUGUUGUUUCUAUAUUAAUUAGAAAAUAUCCAGGCAAAGAUUAUACAUUAAUUAGCUCAAUUUAAUAUCAGCCAAAUAACUUAAAGAUAAUGAUUGAUCUUAAAAUACUAAUUUAGGUGACACAUAACAAAGAAAUGCAUGUUGGAAUCAUAUAUUAGAUGAUACCUAAAAACAUUUAUCCAAAAAUUGUAAGUGGAAUAACUGAGCUACCAUAAUUUCUAGAAUUUUAAGAUUUAAUCUCCAUUUAAAAGAUAUUAUACAGCAUGCUUCAUUUACUUGAACACAUAACUUUAAAUUUUAUAAACUUAAAUAUUUAUUGGAAUUAAAGUUUGUUUAUUUGAUCAGUAAAACCAGCAUAGGAGAUUUAGGCAGUAUCAGGAUUGAUGCGGGGUCGGUGAGCCGAGGAGUCGAAAGAAAGAUUUCUUAGACUCUCAAGAUCUGGCAGUAGUGCUCUUUUAUUUAGAGAAUAGUAUAGAAUAGCAUGGGGACAGGACCCAUGGGCAGGCAGAGCUGGUGUGUGGGGACAGGACCCAUGGGCAGUCAGAGCUCCUGCUGCUGCCCCGAGUUGAGGGUUAGGGCUAAAUUUAAGGCAUAGGUAUAUGAUUCAUCUCUUUACAAGACAAAGGAAAGAACAUGAAAAAACGUUAAAAUGGUAUCAGUGCAG